rnacentral:lncRNA from 1 species
CCUAAAAAUUUAGUAAAAAAGUAAAAAUUUUGAUUGGAAAAAAAUGCAUCGAUAAGGGGGUGUGGGAAAUGGAAAUUAGUGGCUUUUUUGCUGUACUGUCUGCUAGUUUUUGCUCUGGGCUCUGGCUAGAUCUCUUGUUUAAACAAUUUUAAUCAGCUGAAAGUGGCCUACAAAAAAAAACCAAGAAGGAAAUGUAUAGCCUUGUGGCUAUGAAAGGCAAAAGAGAGAUAUAAAAAGUGUAAUGGCUAGUUGGAAGAAAGUCCACAUUGUCCAUGCAUAAUAAGUUAUUACUUACAAAUAUCAAGAAGAUAGCAGGGUCACGAGCAUCAACUUCAUAAGUUCAAGAAUAUCGAGGAAAUCCAGCUCCUCGAUACUACUGGGCAAACUAGAAGAUUGAAGAGGACAAAUCCUUUUGAACUUGUUUGAGUGAUAGGUGAUAGUGAAAAACGGAGCAUAGUGCUUGUGUGCUGUGCCUGUGUAUGUUAGAAUAGUGCACGAUCUUGUUAGAUUAGAUAAGAGACGCUAUGGGGUAAGCUCUUCAUUUUAAGAAACAGUAGUAAUUUAGGUUAAAUUAAAAUUGCUCAUUGGUCAGUUAUGACCAGAUUGUUUUUUUAUGUUUGGCAAAAAGGACUUAAGUCAGAAUUGCACAUUGAUAAUGUUUUGAUGAUUUCUGGACCAGAAAAAAACUGUUGUAGAUGUAAACUGUAUGUACAGUAGAAUCUACUACAGUACUGUAGAAAUCAUCAAAACAUUAUCGAUGUGCAAUUCUGACUUAAGCCCUUUUUCCCAAACAUCAGAGAAUUGUAAUGUACAAUAAUUCUCCUAUCUGCUUUUUCAUGAAUUUUGUAGGAGACGAAAAACCAUUUUUAGGAUCAUCUGCUUUCACAUGUAAAUUUUGACAUGUUUUGUAGUAAAUAGAUAGUUGAAUUUACUACAAAACAUGUCAAAAAAUAUAUGAAAACAGGAGGUGACUAUAAAAAAAGUUUUUAGUCUCUCUUACAAAACUCAUGAAAAAACAAAUCGGAGGUAUGUCACAUUAGUGACUAAGAAUGUCUAAAAAAUAUACUUUGAUGUCCCAAGAACCAAAUAUAACCUACAGUCCAUCUAAUUUACUUACUGUUGCAGGUCAUUAUCUACGCCAGAGAUCUAAGUUGACAUAGUUGCCAAAGUAUAAAAAGAUCCUGAAUCCAUUUUAAAUCAAAUAUGUCACAUAAUUAUUGUAAACGUGGAUUAUACAACAAAACAAAUUAAUAUUCAAUGUAAAUAAGUAAAAACUUAAGAAAUAGAGAACAAGAAUUAAGUUAUAAUCUUUUAAGAUUUGCAGUGCAAAAUUUUUGCACUGCAUUGUUAAUAAUUAAAAAACGGCUCCGAACUCUUGGCAAAAAGCCGGUAGGUUUCUUUGUAUAAGUAUGUCUACAAUAACAACUAAAAAAGUUGUCAGAUACCUCGAUUAUUCCAAGUCGUUAUAAAAUUAGGUGAAAUUUAUAUUUUUAUAGUAGAGGAUCUUUUUAUAGUAAAGUAAAUAAUAAAAACAGUAAAUAUAAUAAAUAAAACAGAUACUUAUAGUAAAGAAUAUAAACAAAUAUGAAGUGUCAUCACCGUAACUGUCAAAUAAAUGUUACCAAUUUAUUCUAAAAUGUCACCUUCGUUCGAUUACAGUUACAGUGUGAUCCGAACAAAUCUGCUUCAUAAAAACGCUUUAUAAUCCAUUUAUACAAAUUAAAUGAAACAUAUUAUUGUGUAUUUCUUUAGGUUAACAUUAAUAGAAAUCUUCAAAUAUUAUUUCUACGCAUAUAUAAUAAAAUAUGUCUAGUGGCUGUAAUUCCAGUGUACUCGGCAAAGUGAUUCUAAAAAAGAACACACCUACCGCCUAAAUAUUUCGUGUUGGUAUCAUGCAACCUCACAGGCUACGACGCGGAUGACGCGCAACAGUUAGUAAAUUAGACGAAGUAUGUAGAUAUAUACAGGGUGUAACAAAAAUACAGGUCAUAAAUUUAAUCACAUAUUCUGGGACCAAAAAUAGUUUGAUUGGACCUAACUUACCUUAGUACAAAUGUGCACACAAGAAAAGUUACAGCCCUUUGAAGUUAUAUAUAUAUAUAUAUAUAUAUAUAUAUAUAUAUAUAAUAGCACCAAGGGUCCUAGAGGCCCAUGGCUUGAAAAGUUUGUUUUUUUUCUUCAUUUUCACGUUUCUUUAUGUACUGAGAUCUUCUCUGGCUUGAUAUGUGAUUUUUCUCCAUUCCUUCCUGUUAUUCAUUUUUCUUUUCUAACCCUGUAGCACCAUUCUUUCCAAAUCUUUUUCGACCUCUUGCUUCCAUCUAUUUUUCGGCCUUCCUCUUCUUUUUCUUGAAGCUGUAGUGUAGUUUAGUACCAUUUUUGGAGUCCUCGUGUUUGGCAUCCUUUCAAUGUGACCUCGCCAUCUAAGUCUCUGUGCCUUUAUCAUUCAUUUGAAGUUACAAGAUGAAGUGAUUUUUUCCAAUAUAUCGAAAACUAUUAGAGAUUUUUUAUUGAAAAUGGACAUGUGGCAUUAUUAUGGCAGCA